AUGCAAGUAGAACGCUGAAGGAGGAGCUUGCUCUCUCUGGAUGAGUUGCGAACGGGUGAGUAACGCGUAGGUAACCUGCCUGGUAGCGGGGGAUAACUAUUGGAAACGAUAGCUAAUACCGCAUAACAGUAGAUGUUGCAUGACAUUUGCUUAAAAGGUGCAAUUGCAUCACUACCAGAUGGACCUGCGUUGUAUUAGCUAGUUGGUGGGGUAACGGCUCACCAAGGCGACGAUACAUAGCCGACCUGAGAGGGUGAUCGGCCACACUGGGACUGAGACACGGCCCAAACUCCUACGGGAGGCAGCAGUAGGGAAUCUUCGGCAAUGGACGGAAGUCUGACCGAGCAACGCCGCGUGAGUGAAGAAGGUUUUCGGAUCGUAAAGCUCUGUUGUAAGAGAAGAACGAGUGUGAGAGUGGAAAGUUCACACUGUGACGGUAUCUUACCAGAAAGGGACGGCUAACUACGUGCCAGCAGCCGCGGUAAUACGUAGGUCCCGAGCGUUGUCCGGAUUUAUUGGGCGUAAAGCGAGCGCAGGCGGUUAGAUAAGUCUGAAGUUAAAGGCUGUGGCUUAACCAUAGUACGCUUUGGAAACUGUUUAACUUGAGUGCAAGAGGGGAGAGUGGAAUUCCAUGUGUAGCGGUGAAAUGCGUAGAUAUAUGGAGGAACACCGGUGGCGAAAGCGGCUCUCUGGCUUGUAACUGACGCUGAGGCUCGAAAGCGUGGGGAGCAAACAGGAUUAGAUACCCUGGUAGUCCACGCCGUAAACGAUGAGUGCUAGGUGUUAGACCCUUUCCGGGGUUUAGUGCCGCAGCUAACGCAUUAAGCACUCCGCCUGGGGAGUACGACCGCAAGGUUGAAACUCAAAGGAAUUGACGGGGGCCCGCACAAGCGG
rnacentral:rRNA from 1 species